rnacentral:rRNA from 1 species
UGGGAACGUACCCUUCGGUUCGGAACAACCCAGGGAAACUUGGGCUAAUACCGAAUACGUCCGUAAGGAGAAAGAUUUAUCGCCGAAGGAUCGGCCCGCGUCUGAUUAGCUAGUUGGUGGGGUAAUGGCCCACCAAGGCGACGAUCAGUAGCUGGUCUGAGAGGAUGAUCAGCCACACUGGGACUGAGACACGGCCCAGACUCCUACGGGAGGCAG